rnacentral:rRNA from 1 species
GACGAACGCUGGCGGCGUGCUUAACACAUGCAAGUCGAGCGGUAAGGCCCUUUCGGGGGUACACGAGCGGCGAACGGGUGAGUAACACGUGGGUGACCUGCCCUCAGCUCUGGGAUAAGCCUGGGAAACCGGGUCUAAUACUGGAUAUGACUCCAUGACGCAUGUUGUGGGGUGGAAAGCCUUGUGCAGCUGAGGAUGGGCCCGCGGCCUAUCAGCUUGUUGGUGGGGNGAUGGCCUACCAAGGCGACGACGGGUAGCCGGCCUGAGAGGGCGACCGGCCACACUGGGACUGAGACACGGCCCAGACUCCUACGGGAGGCAGCAGGUGGGGAAUCUUGCGCAAUGGGCGAAAGCCUGACGCAGCGACGCCGCGUGAGGGAUGACGGCCUGGUGU